rnacentral:rRNA from 1 species
ACGAACGCUGGCGGCGUGCUUAACACAUGCAAGUCGAACGGUGAAGCGCCUUCCUUUUUGGUGGGUGUGGAUGAGUGGCGAACGGGUGAGUAGCACGUGAGUAACCUGCCCCCUUCUUCUGGAUAACCGCAUGAAAGUGUGGCUAAUACGGGAUAUUCUGGGUCUGUCGCAUGAUGGGUCUGGGAAAGAUAUUGUUUCGGUGGGGGAUGGGCUCGCGGCCUAUCAGCUUGUUGGUGGGGUGAUGGCCUACCAAGGCGGUGACGGGUAGCCGGCCUGAGAGGGUGGACGGUCACACUGGGACUGAGACACGGCCCAGACUCCUACGGGAGGCAGCAGUGGGGAAUAUUGCACAAUGGGCGCAAGCCUGAUGCAGCGACGCCGCGUGAGGGAUGGAGGCCUUCGGGUUGUGAACCUCUUUCGCCAGUGAAGCAGGCCUGCCUCGUUUGUGGGUGGGUUGACGGUAGCUGGAUAAGAAGCGCCGGCUAACUACGUG